AGCAGCAGCCGCGGUAAUACGUAGGUGGCAAGCGUUGUCCGGAAUUAUUGGGCGUAAAGGGCUCGCAGGCGGUUUCUUAAGUCUGAUGUGAAAGCCCCCGGCUCAACCGGGGAGGGUCAUUGGAAACUGGGAAACUUGAGUGCAGAAGAGGAGAGUGGAAUUCCACGUGUAGCGGUGAAAUGCGUAGAGAUGUGGAGGAAGACCAGUGGCGAAGGCGACUCUCUGGUCUGUAACUGACGCUGAGGAGCGAAAGCGUGGGGAGCGAACAGGAUUAGAUACCCGUGUAGUCCCUGUCUCUUAUAC
rnacentral:rRNA from 1 species